GCGCAGAGAGAAGCACCAACGACCCGUUCCGACCGGUCUCCGGUGGGGCGGAGUCUGAGCGUACACGUUGGAACCCGAAAGAUGGUGACCUAUGCCUGGGCAGGACGAAGCCAGAGGAAACUCUGGUGGAGGUCCGUAGCGGUUCUGACGUGCAAAUCGAUCGUCAGACC
rnacentral:rRNA from 1 species